rnacentral:tRNA from 1 species
UGCGAGGUAGUUCAGUAGCAGAACGUCUGGUUCAUACCCAGAAGGUCGUCGGUGCAAUUCCGGCCCCCGCAUCCA